UACGGGGGGAGCAAGCGUUGUUCGGAUUUACUGGGCGUAAGGGCGCGUAGGCGGCGCCGCAAGUCGACUGUGAAAUCUCCGGGCUUAACCCGGAAAGGUCAGCCGAUACUGCGGGGCUAGAGUGCAGAAGGGGCAACUGGAAUUCUCGGUGUAGCGGUGAAAUGCGUAGAUAUCGAGAGGAACACCUGCGGCGAAGGCGGGUUGCUGGGCUGACACUGACGCUGAUGCGCGAAAGCUAGGGGAGCGAACGGG
rnacentral:rRNA from 1 species